AUGUGCGGUGGCAGACGGCGCCGUCGCGGCGGCUCUGACGCGACGGCAGGAGAGCCCGGCGGGUGGGGGUUCUGCGCGCCAGCGCUCGCCGUCGUGGCCCUGGCGGCCGCCGCGGCGGUCGCGUUCCUGGAGGGCACCGCCGGCGGCGUCGCCUACGCGGGCGACGGGUGGUUCCACGAGUGCGCCAAGUGGGACGCCGAAGGCGGGAGGUUCCUGGUGUCCACCUUCUUCGGCGCCGGCGUGGCCGAGGUGCGCGUCGGGGCGGGGGAAGAGGAGGCCCUGGCUGAGCGGGUCGUGGUGGCGGACCCCGACGUGGCCGGGAGGGUGGCGCUGGGGCUCGUCGUGGACGCGCCCAGGCGGCGGAUCCUCGUGGCCUACGCCGACCGGCCUCCGAGCUUCGGGUACGCCGCCGUGGGCGCGUACGAUCUUCGCUCGGGGCGCCGCCUCUUCCUCGCCCGGCUCGACGGACCAGGCGAGUCCUCGUUCGCCGACGACGUGGCCUCGGACGACGACGGCAACGUGUACGUGACCGACAUCCUGGGCAACAAGAUCUGGAAGGUGAACCCGGACGGCGAGCCGCUCUCUGUCUUCAAGAACGCCACCUUCAGGCAGCGGCCCGGGACGAUGGACAACCUCAUCGGCCUCAACGGCAUCGUCUACCACCCCAACGGCUACCUCAUCGUCGUCCACACCUCCGGCGGCGACCUCUUCAAGGUGGACCCCAAGACGGGGGCCGUGAGCGUCGUCAGGGUGCGGGGCUCGCUCAAGAGCGGCGACGGGCUGGAGCUGAUCUCGCCGACGAAGCUGGCCGUCGCUGGCAAGCCGAGCAGGCUGGUCGAGAGCUCCGACGACUGGGAGACCGCGAGCGUCACGGGACGGUAUGUCGGGCCGGUGCACCGGAUUGGGUCGUCGGCGACGGUGAAGGACGGGGACGUGUACGUCAACCACAUCGUCGGGUUCGGUCUCGGCAGGAAGAAGACGCACGUCCUCGCCAAGGCGGUGUUCGCGCCUUUGUAG
rnacentral:rRNA from 1 species